rnacentral:tRNA from 1 species
GGGGUUGUAGCUCAGUGGUAGAGCGCUCGCCUAGCACAUGUGAGGCACUGGGUUUGAUCCGCAGCACCACA